GAUGAAGAACGUAGCGAAAUGCGAUAAGUAAUGUGAAUUGCAGAAUUCAGUGAAUCAUCGAAUCUUUGAACGCACAUUGCGCCCCUUGGUAUUCCGAGGGGCAUGCCUGUUCGAGCGUCAUUAUAACCCCUCAAGCUCAGCUUGGUGUUGGGGCCUGCUGCACUGGCAGCCCUUAAAAUCAGUGGCGGCGCCAUCUGGCUCUAAGCGUAGUAAUUCUUCUCGCUAUGGAGUCCUGGUGGAUGCUUGCCAUCAACCCCCAAUUUUUCUAUGGUUGACCUCGGAUCAGGUAGGGAUACCCGAUGAACUUAAGCAUAUCAAUAAGCGGAGGA
rnacentral:misc_RNA from 1 species